rnacentral:rRNA from 1 species
CCGCGAAUAGCUCAUUACAACAGCCGUUGUUUAUUAGAUCUUAUAUCCUACUUGGAUAACUGUGGUAAUUCUAGAGCUAAUACAUGCAACAAUACCCAGACCUCACGGAAUGGGUGCACUUAUUAGACUAAAACCAAUCGGACUUCGGUCCGCCAAAUGGUGAAUCUGAAUAACUCAGCUGAUCGCAUGGUCUUUGCACCAGCGACAGAUCUUUCAAAUGUCUGUCCUAUCAACUUUCGAUGGUAGUUUACACGCCUACCAUGGUUGUUACGGGUAACGGAGAAUUUGGGUUCGACUCC